GACGAACGCUGGCGGCGUGCCUAAUACAUGCAAGUAGAACGCUGAAGGAGGAGCUUGCUUCUCUGGAUGAGUUGCGAACGGGUGAGUAACGCGUAGGUAACCUGCCUGGUAGCGGGGGAUAACUAUUGGAAACGAUAGCUAAUACCGCAUAAUAGUAGAUGUCGCAUGACAUUUGCUUAAAAGGUGCAAUUGCAUCACUACCAGAUGGACCUGCGUUGUAUUAGCUAGUUGGUGAGGUAACGGCUCACCAAGGCAACGAUACAUAGCCGACCUGAGAGGGUGAUCGGCCACACUGGGACUGAGACACGGCCCAGACUCCUACGGGAGGCAGCAGUAGGGAAUCUUCGGCAAUAGACGGAAGUCUGACCGAGCAACGCCGCGUGAGUGAAGAAGGUUUUCGGAUCGUAAAGCUCUGUUGUAAGAGAAGAACGAGUGUGAGAGUGGAAAGUUCACACUGUGACGGUAUCUUACCAGAAAGGGACGGCUAACUACGUG
rnacentral:rRNA from 1 species